UUCACUAGUGGUGAAUCCGCCGGAAAAUCUCAGAACACCUCCGGCAAAGCUCCACCGCUAAGUUAUUCAGUGCCCUCACUCCUGGGUUGGGAGAGUCUGACCUGCGAUUUCUGUAAUGCACUUUUGGGAAGAAAGUAGCAGAGCUAGCUCAUCUUUGAACAGAUCAAGCUAUGGCCAUGAAAUCUGCUAAAUCGUCCGGAAAGUAUCAUGUUGCUGUACAUUUCACUGACAUCUCCUCCGUCCAGCCGAGUCAGAACUAAGCUUUGAGCUUCUCCUUAUCGGCGAACAGACAUCCAUAUGAUUAUUAACAGAAAAUAUUAGAACUGGAAUAUAAACUUAAUCGUCAUGGAAAGCCUCCUGCAUCUGAAACUGGGGGGAAGUUUUUACUUUUCGAUCAAAUAGUCAAGACUCAAGAGCGUGUUGAUGGAGUGUAUGUCUUCGCCACUUUUUAUGAUGCAAUGUUUUAUCAGCACAUAAGCAUCUUAUUACUCAGAAAUUAGUAGAAGAGUAAGCUUAAAUGAACGCCAAGGGUCAGGCCAGAUAGGAUAAACAUUUGGAUAUGUUAAACCUCCAAGCUAUUUGAAUUCCCCUGAGAGAUUCUUAUAGGUGUUGCCACUAAAGGAGUGACUCAGGUUUUCCUCCAUGAACUCCUCGAAUUACAGUAGUCAAGAUUUUUAGUGUUGUAAACAAGGCUUCAAGGUUAAAUGCCGCUUAAGUUUUAAAAAAAAAUAAGAAAAGAAGCAUUCUUCUCGGAGUUGGGGAAAACAAAGAAAACAGACUCAAGGGUGUGGCAUAGUCUACACAUAUCUCUCAGGCUCUCCCCGAGAUAUGCUUUAAUCUUUGACAGUUCUUAGUUUUUUUAAUCAUCCUUAACCUUCAAUGAACGUCUAAGCAAGUUAGUGUUAGUGAGAAAAGACAAUUCUCAUGAGAAGAUUCUUAUAGGUGUCGCCAUUGGAGGAUAUAUAGAUUUCCUCAUUGUUGAGCACUUCACUGAAUUCUACUACAAAGUUUGAAAUCAGAGGAGAAACUAUUGAGUAGAGGAACGAAGAAAAAGCUACAUGCAUGAUGAUGGUGACUAAAUGGACUCUGAAUAGUGUGAUUCUAGCAAAGUACAAGUUGUUCACAUGAAUUCCUUCAAAAACAAGAUAGUAAAAGCAGUUCCAGGAGUUCAAUUUCCAUUGAAUAUAAUCAAAGUUUGUGUGGAAAGAUUUUCAAGAAGUCAAAACAAUCUUUAUUGUUGGAUGAGUUUCAGAAAGCAUUGACGGGCAUAGAAUAAUUUGAUGUGGUUUCAAGUGUAUGGGAAAGUGUCAAGAUGGUCCAGACGUUAGAGGCGUGAACCAGACAGAUGCGGUGAUGACUUGUUCAAUUUUGAACACUUUAUAAGACCUUUGUCGGGGAGUUGGGUUCCAGGAUGUGAAAACUAUUUUCCCAAAUUUCUUUGUGGAAAGAUUUAACAUAGAAGAGCAUUGCUUUGGCAUUUGAAAUAAAUUUAUUACCAAUCACUUUACUGUAAGUCUGUAACGUA